rnacentral:lncRNA from 1 species
CGUGGUCCCACCAGGCUUUUGUUGUUCUGACCUGAAGCCUCAGGGAUGCGGCGAGCUCUCCCUACCGACUUUCUCUGGGCUCGCUUUCUUCUGAGCCCCAGCGGUCGGGGUCUUCAAACGUGCUUCGGUCUGCGUGCCGAGGCGCAGGCUCCGUGCGCUGCAUGCAGCGCGCGCCUAGCUCUGCGUGGGACCAGGCCCCCGCGCUGCCCGGAGAGCGCAGAAGUUGGCUCCCGCCUGUGAGAACUCUGCGUUAAGCGCUGAACCAUUUUGGCCACCUGCCUAACUAGCUCCAGUGUGCGGAGGCUGCUUGAGGAACAGGAGGAGCCCUUGCGGGACGUCGGGAGGGUUUCCGCAGUCGACAAGAGAAGGAGGUUUCCUGAGCUCCAGCGCAGCGGUGGAGGAACACGAGGCAGGGGAGGGUCUGCAGUCCUGAGCGAGCUCGGUUUUCAGGGCAAGUCUGAAUUCCACCUGGGACGAUCGGGAAGCCAGGGCAGGCUGGGAGAGGCAGAUGUGCUUUCUGCAUGAAAUCCCAACACAUGACCCGGCCAUCGGCCAAGCGGCUCUCCAGUGAAGCCCGCAAGCUGUGUUCCUUCGCUGUAGACAGCCCUGUUUUUCCGUGCGAGCCGGCGAGCGUGCGUAUGACUAACUGCUCCUGGGUGGUGUUUAUCAGCCUCAGCAGCUGUCGGCAAAUUCAACCUAUACGGCAGGAAACAAGAGAAGCCUGUCUCGCGCCUGCUUCGUUGCAAACGCUUUCUGGGUUUUGGACUGCUCAGCCUCAGAUGGGACUCUGCAUACUUUUCAUCAGCUGAAAUCAGCAGUCAAGCUGGCAAAAAAAAAGCACUGCUUUUUUUCUUUUUUCUUUUUUGGCCCUGUUCUGGUGCGGCGCUGGUGCCUGUUGCGCCUGGGUAGCUGCUGUCUCAAGGCAGCGAUAGCACCACGGCUGCUCGUUGGGAGGUGG